GUUUUCACAGAGAAGAGUUGGGAAAGCAGACGAGCGAAACCGGAGAAAGUGAAGAGAAGCUGAGAUGAGGGUCUGGCAGCUUAUUCUUGCCGGUGUUCUUGUGCAUAUUAUUUUGUUUUAUUCUAUUUUUGAUAUAUACUUCACAUCACCUUUGGUUCAUGGAAUGACUCCUUAUAAUUCCAGAACUGUAGCACCUGCUAAAAGGCUGGUGCUGUUUGUAGCAGAUGGUCUUCGUGCAGAUAAAUUCUAUGAGCUGGAUGAAAAUGGAAACCCCAGGGCCCUUUAUUUACGGAAAAUUAUUGAGGAGGAAGGAGCUUGGGGUGUAUCUCACACCCGGGUACCAACAGAAUCCAGACCUGGACAUGUUGCUCUUAUUGCUGGGUUUUAUGAAGAUGUCAGUGCAGUGGCUAAAGGCUGGAAAGAAAACCCCGUGGAGUUUGACUCAGUUUUCAAUGAGAGCCGCUUCACGUGGUCUUGGGGUAGUCCAGAUAUCUUACCCAUGUUUGCGAAAGAUGCCAGUGGGAACCAUGUUGUAACAAACUGUUACCCACCUGACCUAGAAGAUUUUGCUGGUUUCAAUAUAAUGCAGCUUGACACAUGGGUCUUUCAGCAAGUGCAGGAUUUCUUUGAGUCAUCAAAAAACAAUGAAACUUUGAGACGAAUAUUACACGAGGACAAACUUGUAUUUUUUCUGCAUUUGCUGGGCACUGACACCAUAGGGCAUUCCAGCAAACCAUAUUCCAUGGAAUAUUUGCAGAAUAUCAAACUAGUGGAUGCAGGGAUUCAAAAAGUUGUGGGACUCAUCGAAAACUUUUAUGCAAAUGAUAGGAAGACUACAUAUGUGAUGACCUCGGAUCAUGGCAUGACCAACUGGGGCUCUCAUGGGGCAGGCCAUCCCCAUGAGACCUUGACCCCAAUAGUGGUCUGGGGGUCAGGAAUUCGAGGUCCAGAAUUAGCAGACUCAUGUGGAAACUACAGUGAUGGCUUUUGCGAUGAUUGGCAUCUUCAGCAUUUGGCUAGAACAGAUAUAGAGCAGGCAGAUGUAGCACCUUUAAUGGCUUUCUUGCUAGGGUUACAUUUUCCAGUAAAUUCCGUUGGUAUUCUGCCCUUGGGAUAUUUGAAUGCCUCAGACUUUGAAAAGGCAGAGGGCUUAUAUGCUAAUGCUCUCGAGAUUCUGGGACAGUAUCAGGUUAAAAGGGCACAGGUGAAGGAGAGAACAAUUUCAGCUACUUUUCGCCCAUUUCAAGAAUUAACGCCAUCUAAACAGGUUGAGUUGACUCAGAACAUCAGAAACCUCAUAAAGAAUGGAUAUUAUCAAGACGCAAUUGCUGAGAGUAGGUAUGUGAUUCAAACAGCAUUGAAAGGUCUUCGAUACUACCAAACAUAUGACAGGCUGUUUUUAGGAUUCAGCAUUGUUGUAAGUUUUAUUGGAUGGAUGGGCUAUAUACUUCAUCUUUUGGUGACUGAACACACAGCAGUAGGAUUGAAAAAAAGACAAGAAAAACCAGUGUAUGGUACUUCUAGUUGUUCUGCCAUCCAUUUCAUCUUUGCUGCCCUAGGAAUUGCUGUUCUACUGCUUUUGUACAUUCAGUCUGUGUCCUGGACAAAUUAUUGUUAUUGCUUGCUGCCUGUUGUCUUAUGGAUGAAGUUUACUGAAGGGUCAGAGGUUAUCUUCAUAGCAUUAAGGCAAACAGUCCAAGAAUCCAGCUUCUUUCAGAUAUGCUGCACAGUGCUCCUCACUCUGGUGGGACUUGAAAUUGUGGUGAUGAGUUUCUUUUACCGAGAAUUGUUGUCUCUUGGUCUACUGGCCAUGGCUUGCUGGAUUUUCACUACACCUUUAGUGAGAACAGCCAAGUUAACAUCUUUUGGAUGGAUUGGCAGUUGUGUUUUGGUUUCAAUCUUCCCAUUACUGCCUGUAGUAGGAGGCAAUGUAAAUUACAACCUUGUGUUAUCCUCUGCUUUAGUUGCAUUUGUGGCUGGGGUCAUCCUGAUCUGGAGGAUUCACAAUCACAGACAAAAUGAAACCAGAGAUAGGAUCUCCAUCAUGGUGAUGUGUGUACAGCUGAUGCUUGUUGCUGUGGCAACCAUUAUUGUCAAGGUAACAUCAGACAGUAUUGCUGACAAAUCAGGUUUACCUUUCAUUAUGCAGACAAUGAGCUGGACAGUCCUAGUUGUGUCACCAUGUCUACCACUUCUGACCAACACAGGGUUGCAGCACAGGCUGAUCAGCAUUAGUUUAGCUUUUGUGGCUCCAUACCUUUUGAUGAGCAUCACCUAUGAAGGUCUCUUCCUGCUAUCACUGACUAGCCUUUUGUACUCCUGGCUCCAAGUGGAGUUCAAGAUGUACAGGAACCAGCAACAGGUUUUUGAAAAGAUGACAUUUCAUCAGAAAAAGCUGCUAAAUGAGAGGGGGAUUUCAGACAGUGUUAGCACAUACCUGGAGACAGCAGACAUACGCAGAGCAUUUUUUUUUAUUUUUCUCAUCAUGACUGCCUUUUUUGGGACAGGAAACAUAGCCAGCAUCAACAGCUUUGAUCCUGUAUCUGUGUACUGCUUCCUCACAGUCUUUAACCCAUUUGUUAUGGGUGGCUUGAUGCUAGUGAAGUGGUGACACAUGUGCCCUUGCGUGCCCUCAUGCUACUAGUUCUUCUCAUGUCGGACUUCAUGGGGCUGCAUUUCUUUUUCUUUGUACGAGACUAUGGCAGUUGGCUGGAGAUUGGGACC
rnacentral:misc_RNA from 1 species